CCUUCCGGCGGUCGCCGCCGCGGACGGAUUCGCGCGGCGCCACCUCCUGGACUGAGGCAAUCGCUGGCGCCAGCGUCGGAUUCCCGUGCUGCGGCCCGGGCACACGCGGUCCGCGCCUCCUCGCCAUGGCCCCCCUCUCGACGCGGGUGCUGUUCCAACGGGGGCGACCCAAGAGCGACCGGCUAGGGAAGAUCCGGAGCUUGGACCUGUCAGGGCUGAAUCUGCUCUCAGAGGACUUGGACCUCAAUCUCCUGGGUCGCUUGAAGCAGCUGCAAGAGCUGGACCUCUCGGACAACCAACUGGAAACGCUGCCUGCUGACCUGGGUCUGCCCCACUUGCAUGUCCUCCAUUGUGCCAACAACCAGCUGAGCGACGUCACCCCCCUCUGCCAGUUCCCGCAGCUCGAGGAGCUCAGCCUGGAGGGCAACCCCUUCCUGACAGUCAGUGACAGUCUGAAAAUCACCUUCCUCCUGCCCGAGCUCCGUAAGUUCAACGGCAAGGAUGUUUCCACCAUUCGCUCUAAGGCAGAGAACCUGAAUCGGGAGCUGACCACCAGGGUCGCAACUCACUGGAGGAAGUUCAUGGCUGCGCUGAGCCGAGAAGAGAAGGCAAAGGCCCAGGCCAACUUUGUGAAGUCAGCUGUCAGGAAUGUCCGCUACGGGCCCGUGUCGCUCAGCGAAUUCACCCAGUGGCGGGUGCGGAUGAUCUCUGAGGAGUUGGUGGCCUCUGGUGGAACCCACGCGCGUGAGGCAGACAUGCCAGAGGGGCCCCACAAAGCCACAGCUACCCAGGAGCCCAGGGCCAGGCCUGUGGCCUUGAGGCGGCCAGGUGAUAUCCCACUCAGCCUCUCGCCCCAGAAGCGGGUGUGCACCUCCCCGUUGGCGCCGGUGGAGGGCAGCCUUGUGGGCUCUGACAGCAGCCAGCUGGAGCCCCUGCACUUCCUGCAGUGCCACAGCAAGAACAACAGCCCCAGCGACCUCAGAACGCAGCUCUGGGCCUGCGCCUUCGAGCCGGCCUGGGAUGAGGGUACACACUUCGGGGGCAGGGGCCCUGGGAAUGCCACCUGCAGGGGCUACCUGGAAGGCUGGGAAGCAGGGAGGGACAGAGAGCUUAAAGUGUCAUCCAGGUCAGGAGGAGCGACUGCUGCGGACAGCUGGAAAUGUUUUCACCAGACUGACCUCCCAAACAGGGCAGGCAGGGGCCACGUCGCAGACCGUGGCCACGUGUGGUGGGGAGGCCGUGUGUGUGAUCGACUGCCAGACGGGCAUUGUACUACACAAGUACAAGGUGCCUGGCGAGGAGUUCUUCUCCGUGGCCUGGACCACCCUGACGGUGGUCACACAGACCGGCCACAAGAAGCGCUGGAACGUGCUGGCGGCUGCGGGCCUGCGUGGGCUGGUCCGGCUGCUGCACGUGCAGGCCGGCUUCUGCUGCGGGCUCAUCCGGGGCCACAAGAAGGCCAUUGCCACCCUCUGCUUCAGCCCCACCCACGAGACCCACCUCUUCAGGUGGGCCUCACAUCAGCUGCCAAGGUCAGCUCAGACUGCGGUGGGAAGCACGAGGCUUCAGGGACACCUGACCCGGCUUCGGAUUCUGUCUUGUUCCCCCAACCUGCCCUGCAGCCUUGGAGGUUUCUCAGAGCCAGGGCAGUGUCUGCCAUCUGGCGGCCUCCUACGACAAGCGCAUCAUCCUCUGGGACAUCGGGACACCCAACCAGGACUACGAAUUCCAGGCCAGCCACCUGCUCACACUGGAUACCACCUCCACCCCACUGCGCCUCUGCCCUGUUGCACCCUGCCCGGACACCUACCUGCUGGCCGGCUGCGAGGGCGGCUGCUGCUGCUGGGAUGUGCGGCUGGACCAGCCCCAGAAGAGGAGGGUGUGUGAAGUGGAGUUCGUCUUCUCCGAGGGCUCCGAGGCAUCCGGACAGAGAGUGGACGGUCUGGCAUUCGUGAACGAGGAUGUCGUGGCCUCCAAGGGGAGCAGCCUGGGCACCAUCUGCCUGUGGAGCUGGAGUCAGACGUGGCAGGGCCGGGGCAGCCAGCCCACGGUGGCGGUGGUGGUCCUGGCUCGGCUGCAGUGGUCGCCCACCAUCCUGGCCUACUUCUCCCUUAGCACGUGUCCUGACAAGGGGCUUGUGCUCUGCGGGGACGAGCAGGGCAGCGUGUGGAUCUAUGACGUCAGGCCCCUCCUGGCGCAGCGUUCCCCGCCGCAGGCCGCCCUGCAGGCCCCCACGCAGAUCCUUAAGUGGCCCCAGCCCCAGGCGUUGGGCCAGACGGUGACCAAGACGAUGGUAAACACGGUGGUGGCCAACCCCACCUUUACCUAUCUCACGGCGCUGACCGACUCCAACAUCGUUGCCAUCUGGAGAAGGGGCGAGCCCUGAGCACACGGGCCUGCCUCCGCCACGGGGCACCAGGGACACAACUUAACUUAUUCAGCUUUGGGGGUAGUAAUGGGAUCUUUAUGUCUGUGUUGUGUUUUUUUUUUUAAUUAAACGCUACUUUGUAAUAGAA